rnacentral:rRNA from 1 species
UGAGGUAGCAAUACCUUGAUGGCGACCGGCGCACGGGUGAGUAACGCGUAUGCAACCUGCCCAUCACUUGGGAAUAACCUUGCGAAAGUAAGACUAAUACCCAAUGAUAUCCCACGAAGGCAUCCGAAUGGGAUUAAGAUUUAUCGGUGAUGGAUGGGGAUGCGUCUGAUUAGCUUGUUGGCGGGGUAACGGCCCACCAAGGCGACGAUCAGUAGCCGGACUGAGAGGUUGACCGGCCACAUUGGGACUGAGAUACGGCCCAGACUCC